rnacentral:tRNA from 1 species
GGAAAUGUGCCUGAAAGCUAAGGAUCUCCUUGAUAGGGAGAACUAUAGAGGUUCAAACCCUCUCAUUUCCU